rnacentral:rRNA from 1 species
CCUACGGGAGGCAGCAGUGAGGAAUAUUGGUCAAUGGGCGGGAGCCUGAACCAGCCAAGUCGCGUGAGGGAUGACGGUCCUAUGGAUUGUAAACCUCUUUUGUCGGGGAGCAAUGCCUGCCACGUGUGGCCGGAGGGAGAGUACCCGAAGAAUAAGCAUCGGCUAACUCCGUGCCAGCAGCCGCGGUAAUACGGAGGAUGCGAGCGUUAUCCGGAUUUAUUGGGUUUAAAGGGUGCGUAGGCGGUUGUUUAAGUCAGCGGUGAAAGUUUGUGGCUCAACCAUAAAAUUGCCGUUGAAACUGGCAGUCUUGAGUGUGUGAGAGGUAGGCGGAAUGCGUGGUGUAGCGGUGAAAUGCAUAGAUAUCACGCAGAACUCCGAUUGCGAAGGCAGCUUACUGGGCCAUAACUGACACUGAGGCACGAAAGCGUGGGGAUCAAACAGGAUUAGAUACCCGUGUAGUC